rnacentral:rRNA from 1 species
CGCGUAGGCGGUUUGUUAAGUCAGAAGUGAAAGCCCUGGGCUCAACCUGGGAAUUGCUUUUGAUACUGGCAGGCUAGAGUAUGGUAGAGGGUGGUGGAAUUCCAGGUGUAGCGGUGAAAUGCGUAGAGAUCUGGAGGAACAUCAGUGGCGAAGGCGGCCACCUGGACCAAUACUGACGCUGAGGUGCGAAAGCGUGGGUAGCAAACA